CUGAGGCCCCAGGGUGGGACUGCUGAGGCCCCAGGGUGGGACCGCGGCCUAUCAGGUAGUAGGUGGGGUAACGGCCCACCUAGCCUACGACGGGUACGGGCCCUGAGAGGGGGAGCCCGGAGAUGGGCACUGAGACAAGGGUCUAGGCCCUAAGGGGCGCAGCAGGCGCGAAGAUUCCGCAAUGCCCGAAAGGGCGACGGAGUGAACCCGAGUGCCACCCGCUGAGGGUGGCUGUUCCCCUGUGUAAAAAGCAGGGGGUAGGAAGGGGAGGGCAAGGCUGGUGGCAGCCGCCGCGGUAAAACCAGCUCCCCGAGGGGUUCCCACGCAUACUGGGCCUAAAGCGUCCGUAGCCGGCCCUGUAAGUCCGCAGUUAAAUCCGCCUGUAGACAGGCGGGCUGCUGCGGAUACUGCAGGGCUAGGGAGCGGGAGGAGCCGGGGGUAUUCCCGGGGGAGCGGUAAAAUGCGUAGAUCCCGGGAGGACCACCAGUGGCGAAGGCGCCCGGCUUGAACGCGUCCGACGGUGAGGGACGAAAGCUGGGGGAGCAAACCGGAUUAGAUACCCGGGUAGUCCCAGCCGUAAACGAUGCCGGCUAGGUGCUGGCCAAGGUUUCGACCUUGGCCAGUGUCGAAGCGAAGGCAUUAAGCCGGCCGCCUGAGGAGUACGGCCGCAAGGCUGAAACUUGAAGGAAUUGACGGGGGGGCACCACAAGGGGUGAAUGCCUGCGGCUUAAUUGGACUCAACGCCGGGAAUCUUACCGGGGGCGACAGCAGGAUGAAGGUCAGGCUGAAGGCCUUACCAGACGCGCUGAGGGGUGGUGCAUGGCCGUCGCCAGCUCGUGCCGUGAGGUGUCCUGUUAAGUCAGGCAACGAGCGAGACCCCCGCCCCUAGUUGCCAGCGGCCUCCUUCGGGAGGGACCGGGCAAACUAGGGGGACCGCCUCCGAAGAGGAGGAGGAAGGUGGGGGCUACGGCAGGUCAGUAUGCCCCUAAUCCCCCGGGCCGCACGCGGGCU
rnacentral:rRNA from 1 species